rnacentral:rRNA from 1 species
UAAACUCCUUUUCUGGGGGACGAAUAAGGUGGGCAGGCAAUGGUCCACCGAUGACGGUACUCCAGGAACAAGCGCCGGCUAACUUCGUGCCAGCAGCCGCGGUAAGACGAAGGGCGCAAGCGUUAUCCGGAAUUACUGGGCGUAAAGGGCGUUUAGGCGGCCAAUCAAGUCAACGUUGAAAGCCCUUGGCUAAACUGAGGGAUGUACGUCGAAACUGAUUGGCUCGAGGAACGUAGAGGAAGGCGGAACUCUCGGAGUAGCGGUGAAAUGCGUAGAGACCGAGAGGUACCCCGAUGGUGAAGACAGCCUUCUGGGCGUUUCCUGACGCUGAAGCGCUAAGGCCAGGGGAGCGAAGGGGAUUAGAUACCCCCGUAGUCCUGGCUUCAAACGAUGUGGGCUUGGUGUCGGCUCCCGACAGAGAGUCGUUGCCGGAGUUAACGCGUUAAGCCCACCGCCUGGGGACUACGUCGCAAGGAUGAAACUCAAAGGAAUUGACGGAA